rfam:Cavia porcellus supercont2_16 genomic scaffold, whole genome shotgun sequence.
AGGGAUUUAGCUUAGAGGCAUAAGCACCUGCCUGGCAAGCAUGAGGUCAUGAGUUCAAUCCCUG